rnacentral:antisense_RNA from 19 species
CUUGAUCGAACCCACCCACAACGGCCGACCCGGCUCACGAUCUUGCCCAUAAACUGCCAACAACGCCUGAGCCUC